rnacentral:lncRNA from 1 species
GACCAGGCUCAGGGUCGAAUCAGAGCUGCAACUGCCGACCUACCCACAGCCACGGCAACAUGGGAUCCGAGCUGCUUAUGGCACAUGCAGCUUAUGGCAACACUGGAUCCUCUACCCACUGAAUGAGGCCAGGAAUCGAACCCGAACCCUCAUGGAUACUAGUCAGAGUCUUAACCCGUUGAGCCAUGACAGGAACUCCAAUAAAAUAAUUUUUCUACAAAAGGUCUUGGUCUUGCCCUGGAAGGCCUCAGAGUCUCACUGAGAAGGCACACAUGAAGUUAAAAUGUUAGCAACAAUCUACUGUCUUAACACUUUUGUAGCUUGUAAGCACUUUCACAUAUACUUCUCCAAACUCAUACAUUGGGCAAGCAUGAUCUGUUCUUUUUAUAGAUGAGAAAACAAACCAGAUCAGAGAGAACCUGAUCCAAGAGACUAUACCAUGGUUCAAGGUCAGAGACCCACCAUCUUCUAAUCACCCAAAACAUAUCAUAUAGGCAGUUUACGACAAACAUUUGACUUGACUUUCUGAUGACACCUGCCACUGCUGUCGGGGGUGUUUACAAUGCAUACAGUAAAUUGUUUGACUGUAUCCAUAAUUAUUUCCACGAUCAAGACUCCGUUUUUUUUAAAAAGGUUUAUAAGGAAAGCCACUUGUAACAAGGUAAGGAGGACAUGGCAGGGCAAUGGAGAAAGCAAGAGUGAAGAUGGUAUUAGGUCUUCUUCUUAAAUUUUUUGAUUGCGCCCACGACACAGAAGUUCUAGGGCCAGGGACUGAACCCAAGCGACAGCAGUGACAAUGCUCCACAGCAGUGACAACGUUGAAUCCUUAACCAUUAGGCCACCAAAGACUCCCAGUAUCAUGCAUGUUUGUACAGAAGACUUUUUAACUGCAAAAACACAUGUUCCCUAAAGAAAAUUUUGAUUGCAAAGUAGAAUGAAAAAAAAAAUCUGUUAUUUCAUCAACCAAAGCAGUGUUCAGCCAUUCCCUCACUUCCCAAACUUUUAAAGUCAUACACACUAUCAAACUUGACGACUUACAUUAAGCUUUUGAAGAUUCUUUAGUUCUAAACAUCUUUAAUUGGUAACAACCACUUUUUCUUUUUUAAACCAACAACGUAGAAACCAGAAAUGAAAAAGAUGCUAAAAGCAUUUAAGUUUGAGGUAUAGCAAUUAUAUUUUGGAAAUUAAAUAGGGAUGCAUGGAAGCUGGAGGAGUGUCCUUACAGAUCCAUUAGCAUUCUAGCCACAGAAAUGUUUGAUCCUGCCCACAGCAAGGCUCCAGUGCUGUGGCUGGAAGCUUUGAUCUUGAGUCCCACUCCAGCAUAUGGUGCUACUAAGCAUAAUCAAAGUGCAAAUCUUUAUAGAAAUUACAGAGGCUGAAAGGGGGAUGGAUGCUUCCUUCCUCUAAUUUCCUUUCCUGCCAUGUUCUUGGUCUUAAGUAGAAAAACAUUUGGUCUUUUGAUGAAAUCUGCAGAUAGUUGGGGAGCAUUUUUACACUGUAUACAGUCAAUUAUUUGACUGUCCGAAAUGAUUUCCAUUACUGAGACUGGCAAUGUUUCCUGCCAGCUUAGAGCCACGGUUUUCAUACCCAUUUACCAAUGGGUAUGAAAUUGCCUCCCUUAUUUUGGCCCUACACAGUGACAUUAGAAUAAGGGGACCCUGACAGUUCUGGCUUUUGGUGGGGGGUGGGAUAGAGGGGAAGGUACAUGACACAUGCACAUUCAGAUUUUGACAAUAAAUCAUUGAAAAUUUUCAGGAUGAGCUGUGAAUUCUUGCAGUUGAUCCUCUUCCAAAGGGGUGCCCCCCUUACAAAUUUUGGUAAGCCAUGAAUUAUAACUCAGAUCAAGGUGUUAGAAACACAGUAUUUUUUAAAUUAAAUUCCCUUCACGUAGAUCUGUCAGCCCACUGAAGAGAGUGGGAGACAACCUCUAGAUUAUAAAUUGCAAGCAAAACUCGUGUUUUGGCAAAGUAAAUUAUCCUGACCCUCUCACCCACACUGCGUUGCUCCAUUUGAGAAACUGCCAUGCCCCUUGGCCCAGACAGACAGGCCUCAGGCAAGCUUGCAAUCUGCAAGGAGCUGGACCAAGGAAGACUCUGUGUGCCGUUUCUCAUGGUUACUGCUUAUUGUGCCCAAGCCUUAUGCACAUUAUUUUUAAUCAUGCAGUUAUUAAAAAGAGAGAGAGAGAGAUGUCUAAAGCAUCAUUCAGGAAGUUUCGUCAAGUGCAGGCCAGUCUACUUCCAGCUGGUGGGCGCCUGCUCGGCUUCUGUCUGUCCUCACUGGGCAGCUCCAAGCCUGGCUGGCUGGUACUCUUACUGCACCGGUUGCUAAAUAUUUUGACUAUCAUCCCGAACUGGCCUCAUUAGUUGUACAUAGAGGCAUGUAUCAACAGGGAGCCUAGUGAGGUCCAACUAUAAAAUCCUGGGUCAGAAGUCAAUGGUUUAGAUUGUGGUCUGAACUCUAUCAUUACAGCAGCGGCUCAACCCCAAAGUUAGCUCGCUCCUCUAAUCCUCAGCCUCCUCGCCUCCAAAUUGGGGCUAUGAAUAACCCCACCUGACUGACUCAUGAGGCAUACCGAGGGUGAAACCGGACAUCAGAUAUGAAAGCAUUUGUUCUCAAGUUUUUUUUUUUUAUCAAUUUCAAAGAAAUCUGUAGUAAUGGCACAUCAUUUAGAAAAUGCCAAAGCGAAGGAUGUAAACAAUUAUUCAUUUUCUCCUCAUGUAAAGGCAACUGUUAACAUUUCAAAAUUUUUCUUCUAGCCUUUUAUGAAAACCCUUUGACAAUUCAACCACAGUUGCUGAGGAUCACAAAAAUGAAAUAAAACAAGGCUGAUGUCCUUCCAGCUGGGUGGGGAUAUCAAAUGGUUAAAUAAAUGUUACUACUGCAGUAUAAAGAAAUUCAAAUGAAAGAAGAGUGAAAAUCUGAGGCUUAAUCUCAACUACAGGUCUGGUUCCUGGAGAUGACAAAUAUUUGAGUAUUUAAGAGUAAGAGACAGGCUUAUACCUAAAGCAUUUCCUUAGACGGACUUGGUUCAAUUCUAAGGGAAAACAUCUUUAUCUUACUGCUAUAAAAUUUCAGGUACUCAAAAGCAAACUCUAUACCAUAACCAUAAACAAUGUGUGGAGUUGCCUUAUUUCCUCUCUGCCAACAACUGCCUUUCCUUUUUUGGUUUGCCAGCGUUCACUGUAGUUCUUAUAGAUCUGCUAUCUGUUUAUACAUGUCAGUUUCAAAUAGCCAGGCACCUCUGAACUGAUGGAUGAGGACGUUCCUUAGACAAAAAAUCCUUGGACUUUUUUUCCAAGGACAUAAUUUCCUUGAAAUUUUGGAAGCAGUCACCUUGUAAAUGCCCUUAAGCAUAUACAGCAUUCUGUGGGCUGACACUUUCUACGAAGGUUUUUAGUUCUUUAUUAUUUUCUUCUCAAAAGACAAUUACUACGAGCCCUGCAAAUGGUGCUCAUUGUGCUUAUUUAUGAUGGCACCAUCCUUCUGGAUUAUCGUCUUCUUUGGUUUUUGUUUUUGUUUGUCUUUUUAGGGCUGCACCCACCACACAUGGGGGUUCCCAGGCUAGGGGUCCAAUCAGAGCUGGAGCUGCUGGCCUACACCACAGCCACUGCAAUGCAGGAUCCGACCCGAGUCUGUGACCUACAUCACAGCUCACAGCAACGCCGCCAGCGGAUCUUUAGCCCACUGAGCAAGGUCAGGGAUUGAACACAUGUUCUCAUGGAUGCUCAUCGGGUUCGUUAACGCUGAGUCAUGAUGGGAACUCCCAGGAUUAUCAUCUUUGGCCUUGUCUACUCUCUCAACCGCUAGGCUCCUAGCAAAGGAGACAUCGAAAUGUUUGAAUAAGCCCAUAAGAAUUCUCAGUCAGUCAAAAUACCUAAGACAGUACCUGGGAAUGUGCUACAUAAACAUCUCUAGGC